UAGGGUAUGGUGUAACGGCUAACAUUGCCGCCUCUCAGGGCGUCUUCGUCCAGAGAUGCAUCCGUUUCGCGGCAGCUCGAGGUUCGAUUCCCCGUACCCAAA